GAAAGAGGCCGGAGGCAUUAAAGACUGCUAAUCUUUAGCGCCAUGGUUAAACUCCAUGGCUCAUUCA
rnacentral:tRNA from 1 species